rnacentral:lncRNA from 1 species
GAGAAAGUACACAAACCUUCUGAAAGGUUGGAAGGUUCUGCAGAGCCACAAGGGACAAUGGCUGAAGGCAGCUGUUCUAUAACCCUGAGGCAGAGGGCAAGGAGUAGGUACAAGGGAGUUUGGGGGAAUUUACCUUAAAUAAGCUUGUUUACUUAUGUUGACCAGGAACUGACCUUUGAUUAUCUGCAUGACGUUCCCUGAAAGGAGAACAAUAAAUGUUAAUUACCCACAGGUUGUGUUUGCUCCAGGUUAUCGGCAUUGUGCCUGCACUGAAUAAAAACAAGCAGCUCCAACUUCUCAGGGCUGCUCUCUGGCCACUAGAGCCAGGCAGUCACCUAGCUGCUGUUAUGCUGCAUACCUGUCUCUGAGUACUCGCUUCAUCCAUCGGCCAGGGUCUGUGGGACAGACCAGGCAGGUGGUGCCCCAUGUGAGGAACGCUGCAAUGGAUUGCAAGGGAACCCCUGAAAACAAAUGUGAAGUGACUGAGCAGUGUUAACCUUAGAAGACUAGAACCUAAUGAGUUAUGGCAAACAGAUGUUAUGCACGUCCCUGAAUUUGGAAAACUAAGGUCCUCUUUGGAUUCCAGCACGAGGCAUCAAACCAUACCAUGGCAUGGCUAGGACCCAACCCGGUACCAAAAUGAAGAAAAUGACCCUACAGGACCCACAAUCCCGGAUGAUGUGGCUUCCUUGGAUGACACAGGCCCUGGACAUUACCUGGGGGAUGCUGAAGAAGACAACUCAGGAGGCCAAGCAAAUCCUGCUCCAGGCACAGACACCAUUCACUCCAGGAAGCUGCCAUUCAUUCGACAUAAGUAGGUGCUUCAUCUGAUAAGCGCUGCUUGUGUAAUUUAUCAAUGACAGAGAAGGCAGAUAGCAGCAUGCAUACUUGGGGCUGCAUUUGAAGGAGAGCAACAUCCCUUUGUUUUCACAGAGGAGAACAAGCAUGAGUUGAGAUUGUGGUGCUUCUUGAAGUCUCAUCCAGAUCAGAAACCUGCUGCUCUGUCCACAUUCCAUCCACCAAAGCAACCCAUAUGGCCAUGUCCAGCAUCAGAUGGGGAAAGGCAGUUCUCCUCUAGCACGAGGAGCUGCAAAGCCACAUGGCAAAGGAUGAGUGUGUAAAAAAUAAAUGCAGGAGGGCAGGAGGCAUUGGGAACAAUGAUCCAAUCUACUGCAGUGUGUUAUUCUCUCCAGCUUGGCAUGCGUUCCGUUCCCUGUGUACAGCAUCCUGCAGUGACAGGAGCUCACGCUGGUCCUUUAAUAUGGGCCAGAUACUGUGCUAAGCACAGCACAUGGUUUAUCUUGGUGUAGCCUCACAGCAACAUUGGAGCAAAGCACAGU